GUGCUCGCCGCCAGCGCCAUGCUCUCCAGGUAGGACACGCCCGCCCGCGGGGCAGGCGCACCUCUGCAGUGGGGCAGCGGGAAGCACCUUCUCGCCUGAACAUGGAGAGAUAAGGCGCCCUCCGGCAGGCAGGCCCGCGUGACCAGGAGCUGUGCCCGCCGAGGCCGUCAAAAUGGAGCGCUCCCGGGAGGCCGAGGCGGAGCUGAGAGGGGGCCGCAGCCCGCCCAGGGCCAGCCGGAGCCCCGAGGCGGACGGGGACAGGGCGCUGAGCUACAGCUGCUGUAUCUGCGGCAAGACCUUCCCCUUCCAGAGCUCACUGUCCCAGCACAUGCGCAAGCACACGGGCGAGAAGCCCUACAAGUGCCCCUAUUGCGACCACCGCGCCGCGCAGAAGGGCAACCUCAAGAUCCACAUCCGCGGGCACCGCGCAGGCACGCUCACCCAGGGCCGCGAGCCUGAGGCGGCCGAGACGCGCGUGUCCGAGGGGCUUGGCGGCUGCACCAGCCCCACCAAGAGCACGUCGGCCUGCAACCGCAUCCUGAACGGCGCCACGCAGGCGGACACCGGCAAGAUCCUGCUGCGCAGCACGCGGAAGGAGGCGGAGGGUGCGGCGGCGGGGCAGUGCGCCUUCUGCGAGAGCAGGUUCGAGCGCAAGAAGGACCUGGCGUGGCACGUGCAGCAGGCGCACAAGCCCUUCACGUGCCGCCUGUGCAGCUACGCCACCCUGCGUGAGGAGGCCCUGCUCAGUCACGUCGAGAAGGAUCACAUCGCGGCGCAGGGGCCUCGCGGAGACGCCUUCGCCGAAAACGGCAAGCCAGAGCUGCCGCCCGGCGAGUUCCCCUGCGAGGUGUGCGGCCAGGCCUUCAGCCAGACCUGGUUCCUGAAGGCGCACAUGAAGAAGCACAGGGGCUCCUUCGACCACGGCUGCCACAUCUGCGGCCGGAGAUUCAAGGAGCCGUGGUUCCUGAAAAACCACAUGAAGGCGCAUGGCCCGAAGGCGGGGAGCAAAAACAGGCCCCGGAGCGAGCUGGAGCCCGUGGCCACCAUCAACGACGUGGUGCAAGAAGAGGUGAUCGUGGCCGGUCUGAGCCUCUACGAAGUCUGCACUAAGUGUGGGAACCUGUUUACGAACCUGGACAGCUUGAACGCGCACAACGCCAUCCACCGCCGGGUGGAGGCCGGCCAACCACGGGCCGCCGUUGGGGAGGGCUCAGCGACUGGCCCUGCCGAUUCCCAGCAGCUCUUCCUUCAGUGCCUGAACCUGCGCCCGGCGGCCGGCACGCCCGCCCGCGGGCAGACUGGGCGGCGCGUGGCCGAGCUGGACCCGGUCAACAGCUACCAGGCCUGGCAGCUGGCCACCCGGGGCAAGGUGGCCGAGCCGGCCGAGUACCUCAAGUACGCGGCGUGGGACGAGGCGCUGGCCGGGGACGUGGCCUUCGACAAGGAGCGACGCGAGUUCAUCCUGGUGAGCCAGGAGAAGCGCAAGCGCGAGCCUGAGCCGGGUGCACAGGGCCCCCCGCGCAAGAGGGUGGGCGCACCCGGGGACCCCGCGCCCGGGCCCCCAGAUCCCCGGCCUGCCGCGCGCCCCAGCCGCCGCGCCGCCGUCCCCGCCGGCCACGGCAAGUCGUCCGAGUGCUUCGAGUGCGGCAAGAUCUUCCGCACGUACCACCAGAUGGUGCUGCACUCGCGGGUGCACCGCCGCGCGCGCCGCGACCGAGAGCGCGGCGGCCCAGGGGACCGUGCGCUGCGCGCCCGCGGCGGCUCCCUCAGCGAGGGCGACUCGGCCUCGCAGCCCAGCAGCCCCGGGUCGGGCUGCGCCGCCGCCGACUCCCCGGGCUCGGGCCUCGCUGAUGAGGCUGCUGAUGAGAGCGGAGAGGAGGUCCCGGCCCAUCCCGGAGCAGGGGCAGAGUCACACCGCUGCUGCUUCCCAGAAGACGUCUCCUUGGCUGCGCUCUCCAACGGAGACCAAAGUCACACACUUGGAAACAGCCCAUCAGGAAGAGUGGCCGGGGAGCUUGGCACAGGGAUCGCGGCCCGCGUGUCCGUGCUUGAAAGCAGCAGCAGGGACGCUCCCAGGAGACCUGAGCCGCCUCGGUGUUCUGUGGACUUGAAGACACCAGCGUGUGGCCCCCAGCAGGAGGGCCCGGGCCCCAGGGACGCGGCUGACCUCCCUUCAUGCCCAGCCCAGGCGGCGGGUCUGCAGCCGCCCUCUGAGAGCCAGGCCACCUACCCCCGGGAGAGGCCGCCCGAUUUGCACACCAAGGAGCACCCCGCGGGGAAGCGGGCACCAGCCCCAGACCUGGUCCCACUGGACCUGAGUGAGCGGUCCUCGCGGGACGAUCCCGGCCGCCGGGAGCUGGCCUCCUCGCUGCAGGCGGCGCUGGCCGUGCACCCGUGUCCCUACUGCAGCCAUAAGACCUACUACCCCGAGGUACUCUGGAUGCACAAGCGUGUCUGGCACCGCGUCAGCGGCCAGGCCAUGGCCCCGCAGUGGACUCAGCCCAACGGCUACAAGAGCAUCAAGAGCAACCUGGUGUUCCUGGCCCGGAGCGGACGCACGGGCCCCCCGCCCGCCCUCGGGGGCAAGGAGUGCCAGCCUCUGCCCAUCGCCCGGUUCACCCGCACCCAGGUGCCGGGCGGGGUCCCGGGCCCCAAAGGCAGCCCCUCGCCCCUGGGGGUGCCCACGAAAGCUGCCGGCCUGCCCCGGAGCAAGGAGGGACACCCCGGGGCACCCUGUGCGCUCUGGACGGCCGGCCCCGACGGGACUCGGCAGACCCGGCCUGGCCCUGGCCCGGAGCAGCCUCUGCCCAGGCCCAAACAGGAGACCAGCCCCAGACCCGGGCCCGCGGGAGGCAGCGGGGGCUUCAGCAGGAGCGCUACCCCGACGCCCACUGUUAUCACCCGGGCGGGCCCCCAGGCCCCUGCCAGCAGCAGGCAGGGGGCGGGCCUCGGGCCCCCAAAUAAGCACAGUGCCCCAGACCCCCCCAAAGCCAAAUUCAGCCCUCAGCCUCAGGGUCAGCCGCACGGGAAAGGCGACGGGGGCACCCCUCUACCUCCCCGGGAGUCCCCCUCCAAGGCCGGCUCCAGAGGGCCCGCAGCCCCUCAGGGCCCACCCGCCCCGCACCCCGUCAAGCAGGAGCCGGCGUCCGAGGGCCCCGAGAAGCGCCUGGACCUCCUCAGCAUCUUCAAGACAUACAUCCCGAAGGACCUGGCUUCCCUUUACCAGAGCUGGGGUGCCAGCAGCCCUGUGCUCGAGCGCAGAGGGACGCUCCGGACGCAGGCCCACCAGGGAGACUUCAUCUGUGUGGAGUGUGGGAAGAGCUUCCACCAGCCCAGCCACCUGCGGGCGCACAUGCGGGCUCACACAGUGCUGUUCGAGUCUAACGGCCUCCGAGGUGCUGACGCCCACACCACCUCCGCAGACGCCCCCAAACAAGGGAGAGACCAUUCUAACGCAGAUGCUGUCCAAACAGUGCCUCUCAGAAAGGGAACCUAGAGAUACACUUGGUCCGUUCUGGUGCCGUGACCUCGUCCGCAGCCCCCUCCCGGACGUCCCAAGACAGCCACCCUGGCCGCCCCGUGGAAGACCCCCCCAGCCGGACACCGCCUCGCAUCCUGCAGCUGCCCGCCAGAGCGGAAGCUAAAGGGGGCUUCUUGUCACGUGUUUAAACAUCGGCGAAGAUGCUCUUCUCAGAAGUACAUGUAGAUGUUGUCUACGCAUCCACGUGCUCACCAGUCAUAGUCCGUGCUUUUUGCAGUAAGCGAGGUGUUGGCAGGCACGGUAGGGACACAGAGCAUCGGUAUCGUUCAAGACAGGUUCGAGACACUGGAAAGAUGCUCGCGUGUGUCGACAGACUGGAGCAGCCACGUGGGAUUUUGGAGGACCGCGGGGGUGACAUUGGGACUGACGGCGGGGGGCCAGGGGGGCGGGGUGCUGACGAUGCCCCAGCCUCUCCGCGUCUUAGUGCGUAUUUAAAAUAGUAAGAGGCAGGACGGGCAUUCAGGUGCUGUAGAAGCAGGCUCGAAGGGGCGGCGGGGGUGCCGGGUGACGAGGCCCUCCGUCUUCAGGGGUCCCACCGCCUGCCCCAGCUGAGUUCCCCUCCCGUCUGUGCCCAGUGAACCCGGAAGAGGUGACACGGCCGUGGGAAGGCUUUGAUUGUGUUUCGGGAAAGAGCGCUAGUUGAACACUAAGAAAAGCAGGCUUCUUUGUUUAUUCUCAGGACCUUCUGGUAACAGGGCUACAUUCUGCAAACUGCUUACAACAGAAGACUGCCCGUCUUAACAAAUGAUCUAGCCACUGAACCCCUCCACCCCCGACCCGGACCCUUUGACUCGAGUGGGAGAACCCCUGGAGCAGGUGGGGGGCCAGGUCACCCCUGGGUCCUGGCGCUCUGGGGUCCUCCUGCCCCCCCACCUUCCCGUCCAUAUGUCCCAGCAAGUAGGCGUCUUUUCUUCUCGGGCCUGGGGGCCUCCACUCGCGAGUCCCCUCGUUCCCAGACCGGGGAAGCCCCCAGGCCCGUGGGUGGGGGCGGCUUUAUAUACCUCUUCCUCAGUCACACAGAGGCAAGUUUUAGCGGGGGGUUAAGGCCCGUAAGAAAGGACCUUAAGCCUUGCAGUGUAUGCAGUUAAAAUUGUAUUCCGCAGAGAUACAUGUUUUCUUUUCCCAUCGCCAUGACACUGUGUGUGGUGGCGGGGUUUCUGAGACGUUCAGGUUUUUGCACAUAGUGAUCUUAUGCAUUAUCACAAGUUACUGCUGCCUUGAAUGAAAAUGUUCUGUGAAAUUUUUUGCAAAAGCUUUACUAGGUUUUUUUUUUUAAUUGUGAAAUUUUGUAAAGGCAGGAAACGGAUUAAAACGAGCAUGCUAAAUAUAUUUUUCAAAAAAGCAAUAAUUUUACAUGUACAGAAAUUAUCCUAACCUUUAAAACUGGUGAGAGCGACAGUUUACUUAAUACAGUAAUGGAUUAGUGCAGUUUUUGUAGAAAUGGGCUUCUGAUACAAAGAGUUGUUUAAAUACACACACACACACAAACCCUAAAGUGUGGUUUUCCUGUUCUAAUGAUUUGUUGAAUUAUAUUAUUAUUAUUGUUGUUGUUAUUGUUGUUGUUCUUAGUUAAUGUUUGGUUCUGGAUUCUACUUGUUACUGAAUUUAAAUUACUUGACGGUUCAGGUUACUUUGCAGCGAUGCAAUGUAGCUGGCUAGCUUAUAUCUAUAAAUAUGUAUACACGUAUGUACACACACAUAUAUAGGCAUAUAUGUGUAUGUAUAUAUAUAUAACUUUUUUACUUAUUUUUUCCUGAUAUUCUUACACCAGAUAUGUUCCAGAGUGACCUGUCGUGUUGGUGUCAUUAGGGAUGUCCGUGCAGAUAUGAUCAGCGGCUGUAAUUGACUGUCCUGUCAAGUUAUUUGAACAAAGCCACAGAGACACAUUCCUUUGUUCACACUGGGAAUCAGAAUGCCUUUCUGUCGACUUUCGUUUGAUCACGUCCGUAGUCUCCCCCCAGUGAUCAUUUCUGUAUUUUCUGGCUUUUAUUUUCUUGGCUGACAGUGAAGGGUGACAGUUCAGGGCCUGCUGUUUCUCUGUGUUUCUGUUAUUAAAGGAGCUCUGUACGUAGUAUGGCGCAGAGGAGUUGCUAUGUGCGCACCUUCAGAGCCACAGACGGCAUCCUGGGAGCCCCUCUGUGGGCAGCCUGCUGGAAGGGUGCUUCCUGGGGCCCUGCUGGCUGGACGCACAGCCCAAGCCAGUUGGAAUACUUGUUUCUGCCCAGAGCACAGAAAUGAGGUUUUCACUUCAUUCAGCAGAAGAGGGGGUGGGGAGGCCCUCCGAGGACGCUGCCUCCGAGACGAGCCACCUGGGGCCCGACUGGUUCCUUUCCUCCACUGAUCAUCAGUAUUGUAUGGGUUUGCUCAUGCGUUGAUGUCAGUUCGACCAUAGUAUUUAAUAUGAUUUGUGUUUUACUUAUUUAUUUAGCCAGUGUGGUUUGAUUCGCCUUUUUUCGAAUGAGGAUUUCCGCGUGGUCUCUCCUGUACGUCGCCUUCCGACUGUUACAGACUUUCUGCUACCUCUCCUCCUCUGCUGUCUCCUUGUUUCUCGGCAGGAUCUUGCCGUGUUGCGUCAGAUGUAACGUAGACAAUAAAGGGUUCGGUUCCGCACCUCA
rnacentral:lncRNA from 1 species